GGCUCACCUCACUAGCUUGCUCCAAGCACGAGGAAGAAGAGGAUAAAGGUGAGCUUCAUCUUCUUGAUCUCCUUCUCCUUCCUUUCUUCUCUUUUCUUUUCUUCUCUUCUCUUUCCUUUCCUUCACUCCCAACGGUUGAGAGAGAGAGGGGGACACGAGAGUAGGACGGAGAGGGGUGCUGCAGUGGAGGAGGGGGUUAGGGUUAUUUGUUAGUAUGUAACAAUUACAAAUAAACCCCCCAAACAUUGCUAUUUGCAGCAGACCAAUUUUCACUGCCAGACCCAAAGUGUACCGGUACACUUUCCCGUGUCACCGGUAACACGAGUGCGCAGAGGCCAACCCGAGAGCUAUCUCUCGGUUUUUCGCGGCAUUUGUACCGGUACAAAACAGGGGUGUACCGGUACACUUCCAAUUUUUCCUCAAAACCUGAGAGCUCAUUUCUCACCUCGGGUUGCUUGUUGUACCGGUACAACCAUCAACCUGUACCGGUACACGUUGCUCCAGAAUUGACUUUUGGCUCCGUUUCGAUUCUAUUUCGCUCGUUUGACCUCCGAUUUUUUUCAAAUCGAACUGAGACUCUCCAAACAUGUUUUUAGACAUGUCUCCAUAAUCUUUUCAUCCACGCUUAUGCCGAAUUUAGCUCACGGCCCAACAUAGCCUUUCGGGUUUCGUUUUCACGCCUACACGCACCGAAUCGCCCGAAAGCUUCCGAACUUCACCGAACUUCACCGGAACCAUCCAAACAGCUUUCCAACCUAACAUACACCGUGACUUCAUAACUUUAGAAGUUUAGUAUGUUACAGUCUUAGUACGCAAAUUGUACGCACGAUAUGCUCGACAUGUAGUAAAAUAACCAAGAAAAAUCCCUUCGUCACUUCGGAAGUCAAAUUUUCCAAAAUUUUCACGAUCCCGAAGGAUAAAACACUUACUCCCGAAGACACGAAAAUAUUUGAUAUUCGGUUUUCUGCAAA
rnacentral:lncRNA from 1 species